GAACCAUAAGCUGAACCCGAAAGCACAAGAGUAUUCUGGGAUAAACCUAGGUGUAGCAGCACUUCUGGGUUUAGCCGUAAUAUAGCCACGUUAACGCAACGGAGACGUACGAGAAUGACUACGGAGCGCAACUUAGCAAUGGGGCCUUUUAUAAGUGAUCGGUUGCUACGUUCAAUAUAGAACAUAUGAUAUGGUGGUCAGAUAAACUUUUUUCUGAUCUGUUCCCCAUGGCGUCAAAACGUGAAGAGACAGAUCGGAAAUACUCUCAGCGGGUGCCGACUCUCCGUCCUCAGUACGUGGCGGCCGGUAUCCGGUAAUGGCGCCACUCCAUUAAUAUUGUCAAUGAAGUCAUUAUGCGUUUUUCAUUCUCUGUGUCAUAUUUCUAGGACAACCAAUAUAUUGUUCAAGCGCGCUUAAGUUGCUUACGAGUUUAAUGUACGUUGUGCGUGCUUAUCAUGCGCGAGGUUACCAAAUUACAACACAAAUUUAUUUCUGACAAGUAAUAUAUACUAAUAUUAAGGUUACAGAAAUUAUCAUAGAACCUAAUGGUUAUUAACUUUCUUUACCUAACACCUGGGAUUAAAUAAUUGUUGUGCUGUGUUUGAAUUUUGCUGAAUAUGUAUUACCACAUAGGGCAAUAAA